rnacentral:rRNA from 1 species
AGAGUUUGAUCAUGGCUCAGAUUGAACGCUGGCGGCAGGCCUAACACAUGCAAGUCGAGCGGUAGAGAGGAGCUUGCUUCUCUUGAGAGCGGCGGACGGGUGAGUAAUACCUAGGAAUCUGCCUGAUAGUGGGGGAUAACGUUCGGAAACGGACGCUAAUACCGCAUACGUCCUACGGGAGAAAGCAGGGGACCUUCGGGCCUUGCGCUAUCAGAUGAGCCUAGGUCGGAUUAGCUAGUUGGUGAGGUAAUGGCUCACCAAGGCUACGAUCCGUAACUGGUCUGAGAGGAUGAUCAGUCACACUGGAACUGAGACACGGUCCAGACUCCUACGGGAGGCAGCAGUGGGGAAUAUUGGACAAUGGGCGAAAGCCUGAUCCAGCCAUGCCGCGUGUGUGAAGAAGGUCUUCGGAUUGUAAAGCACUUUAAGUUGGGAGGAAGGGCAGUUACCUAAUACGUGAUUGUCUUGACGUUACCGACAGAAUAAGCACCGGCUAACUCUGUGCCAGCAGCCGCGGUAAUACAGAGGGUGCAAGCGUUAAUCGGAAUUACUGGGCGUAAAGCGCGCGUAGGUGGUUUGUUAAGUUGAAUGUGAAAUCCCCGGGCUCAACCUGGGAACUGCAUCCAAAACUGGCAAGCUAGAGUAUGGUAGAGGGUAGUGGAAUUUCCUGUGUAGCGGUGAAAUGCGUAGAUAUAGGAAGGAACACCAGUGGCGAAGGCGACUACCUGGACUGAUACUGACACUGAGGUGCGAAAGCGUGGGGAGCAAACAGGAUUAGAUACCCUGGUAGUCC